rnacentral:rRNA from 1 species
AUUGAACGCUGGCGGCAGGCCUAACACAUGCAAGUCGAACGGUAACAGGAAGAAGCUUGCUUCUUUGCUGACGAGUGGCGGACGGGUGAGUAAUGUCUGGGAAACUGCCUGAUGGAGGGGGAUAACUACUGGAAACGGUAGCUAAUACCGCAUAACGUCGCAAGACCAAAGAGGGGGACCUUCGGGCCUCUUGCCAUCGGAUGUGCCCAGAUGGGAUUAGCUAGUAGGUGGGGUAACGGCUCACCUAGGCGACGAUCCCUAGCUGGUCUGAGAGGAUGACCAGCCACACUGGAACUGAGACACGGUCCAGACUCCUACGGGAGGCAGCAGUGGGGAAUAUUGCACAAUGGGCGCAAGCCUGAUGCAGCCAUUCCGCGUGUAUGAAGAAGGCCUUCGGGUUGUAAAGUACUUUCAGCGGGGAGGAAGGGAGUAAAGUUAAUACCUUUGCUCAUUGACGUUACCCGCAGAAGAAGCACCGGCUAACUCCGUG